rnacentral:rRNA from 1 species
UACGGAGGGAGCUAGCGUUGUUCGGAAUUACUGGGCGUAAAGCGCACGUAGGCGGCUAUUCAAGUCGGGGGUGAAAGCCCGGGGCUCAACCCCGGAACUGCCCUCGAAACUAGAUAGCUAGAAUCUUGGAGAGGCGAGUGGAAUUCCGAGUGUAGAGGUGAAAUUCGUAGAUAUUCGCAGGAACACCAGUGGCGAAGGCGGCUUACUGGUCCAUUACUGACGCUGAGGUGGCGAAAGCGUGGGGAGCAAACAGG